rnacentral:rRNA from 1 species
UACGAAGGGGGCUAGCGUUGCUCGGAAUUACUGGGCGUAAAGCGUGCGCAGGCGGUGAUGUAAGACCGAUGUGAAAUCCCCGGGCUUAACCUGGGAACUGCAUUGGUGACUGCAUUGCUGGAGUAUGGCAGAGGGGGGUGGAAUUCCACGUGUAGCAGUGAAAUGCGUAGAGAUGUGGAGGAACACCGAUGGCGAAGGCAGCCCCCUGGGCCAAUACUGACGCUCAUGCACGAAAGCGUGGGGAGCAAACAGG